UGCCAUCGCUAAGUCAAGUCUACUUCUGUGACCUUGUGUCACGCUUUCUCAAUGGAAGUAUUGUCUGUUACAGCUUUGGCAGAUUAACGCUGGUCCGUGCCGAAUUUCAUUCUGAAGCUAGGCUGAUCAGCUUUCGUUUUGAAAGCUGGUCGUUAAGGACUGGGCAGUGUUCUGUUUUUGAGUUGAGUACUGCUUCGCCAUCGGCGUCUUCAUAGCAGAGCUCUUAGUAACAUUUCACACAUCG
rfam:TPA: Aspergillus nidulans FGSC A4 chromosome VII